rnacentral:lncRNA from 1 species
UUACUAGUUCAGGAGGAGUGUUCUGAUGUCGCUGAACCAUAGUCACCUGGGUCCCAGAAUGGCCUCCUGGAAGGUGACCCUCCUCCCAAAUCUGAACAUUCACCCUGAGGUCUUGACAUUAAUUUUCCAGUACAUACCAUGUCAAGCAGAGAAAACAUCAGUUUAGCUGGACUUUCCCAAUGACCAUGGACAUCUACAAAGACUGGCUCCAUCUGCAGUGAACUGCUGACUUAUCCCAUUACCAUCCCUCGGCCAGUUUCUGAGAGCAAAGACAAAAAAGAGAAGCCAGGUUUAAAAAUCAGGAUCAUGGCUCUUCCACAUCGUGCUGGAGGCAGGAACAAGAGUCCAACAACAGGUGCAUGUGUUUAUCUUAAUUUAAUUUGGAAAAGGUGUCAGUUGUUUGCAUAGGUGACAUCUCCCUGUUCUAAGGCUGUAAAGCUUUAGGGAGGGAGCAGUGCCCCUUUGGAUCUUCCCACUCCCUCUGUUUCCCCAGCAGAGAAAACCGCCACUGCUGUUUCCUAAAUAUCCUUGCAGAUCAUCUACGUGACCUCAGGAGUGUGUGUGCACAGGGGCUUUUGCUCACACACGUCCAAGCCUACCCGAAACCCAGCCCUGUAUGACGCUUUUUCACUUUAAAUCUUGUACGUCCUUAGAUAUCGGUACACUAUAAACUGCCUUCUUUUUCUAAUUGGCUUAUGUUCUGUUAUACAGAUAUGCCAAACUUU